GGCGCAAGGGUGCGUAACACGUGGGCAAUCUGCCGUGAAGUCUGGAAUAACUUGCUGAAAGGCGAGCUAAUGCCGGAUGUGACGACUGGGAGGCAUCUCCCGGUUUUUAAAGUUGGGGACCGCAAGGCCUGACGCUUCACGAUGAACCCGCGGCCUAUCAGCUAGUUGGUGAGGUAACGGCUCACCAAGGCUAAGACGGGUAGCUGGUCUGAGAGGACGACCAGCCACACUGGAACUGAGACACGGUCCAGACACCUACGGGUGGCAGCAGUCGAGAAUUUUUCACAAUGGGCGAAAGCCUGAUGGAGCGACGCCGCGUGGGGGAUGAAUGGCUUCGGCCCGUAAACCCCUGUCAUUUGCGAUCAAACCCCGCUAUUUAAAAGAUGGCGGGCUGAUAGUAGCGAAAGAGGAAGGGACGGCUAACUCUGUGCCAGCAGCCGCGGUAAUACAGAGGUCCCGAGCGUUGUUCGGAUUCACUGGGCGUAAAGGGUGCGUAGGUGGUGAGGUGUGUCGGAUGUGAAAUCUCGGAGCUC
rnacentral:rRNA from 1 species